UACGUAGGGGGCUAGCGUUGUCCGGAAUCAUUGGGCGUAAAGAGCGCGUAGGCGGCCAGAUAAGUCCGGUGUGAAAGUCACAGGCUCAACCUGUGAAUGCCGCUGGAAACUGUCUGGCUAGAGUCCGGAAGGGGCGAGUGGAAUUCCUGGUGUAGCGGUGAAAUGCGCAGAUAUCAGGAGGAACACCAAUGGCGAAGGCAGCUCGCUGGGACGGUACUGACGCUGAGGCGCGAAAGCGUGGGGAGCGAACAGG
rnacentral:rRNA from 1 species